rnacentral:rRNA from 1 species
UAAUAGUUAUGAUCUUGAAACUUAAAGAAUUUGGCGGUAUUAUAGUCUAUUUAGAGGAAUCUGUUAUGUAAUCGAUAAUCCGCGUUGAAUCUUACUUAUAUUAAUUCUUGUAUACCACUGUUUAUGAAUAUAUUAAUAGAUUAUUUUCUGGAUAUAAAAAUAAAUAAGAUUUCAAGUCAAGGUGCAGUAAUAUAUAAGAUGAAUAAUGGAUUACAAUAAAUUUUAUUUAUAUGGAUGAUUUAUUGGAAUAUAAUUUGAAGGUGGAUUUAAUUGUAAUUUUUUGAAGAUUGUUAAAAUGAUUUU